UAAAAUGAUCUCACGGGAAGAGGGUGAGUGUGUUAUAAAGUUCGUAAAAUAAUCGCACGGGAAGCGGAUGAGUCUGUUAUAAAGUUCGUAAAAUGAUCGCACGGGAAGAGGGUGAGUAUGUUAUAAAGUUCGUAAAAUGAUCGCACGGGAAGAGGAUGAGUCUGUUAUAAAGUUCGUAAAAUGAUCGCACGGGAAGAGGGUGAGUGUGUUAUAAAGUUCGUAAAAUGAUCGCACGGGAAGAGGAUGAGUCUGUUAUAAAGUUCGUAAAAUGAU